rnacentral:rRNA from 1 species
AUUGAACGCUGGCGGCAUGCCUUACACAUGCAAGUCGAACGGUAACAGGUCUUCGGAUGCUGACGAGUGGCGAACGGGUGAGUAAUACAUCGGAACGUGCCUAGUAGUGGGGGAUAACUACUCGAAAGAGUGGCUAAUACCGCAUGAGAUCUACGGAUGAAAGCAGGGGAUCGCAAGACCUUGUGCUACUAGAGCGGCCGAUGGCAGAUUAGGUAGUUGGUGGGAUAAAAGCUUACCAAGCCGACGAUCUGUAGCUGGUCUGAGAGGACGAUCAGCCACACUGGGACUGAGACACGGCCCAGACUCCUACGGGAGGCAGCAGUGGGGAAUUUUGGACAAUGGGCGCAAGCCUGAUCCAGCAAUGCCGCGUGCAGGAUGAAGGCCUUCGGGUUGUAAACCGCUUUUGUACGGAACGAAAAGCCCUGAGUUAAUACCCUGGGGUCAUGACGGUACCGUAAGAAUAAGCACCGGCUAACUACGUGCCAGCAGCCGCGGUAACAC